rnacentral:tRNA from 1 species
GGAGAGAUGGCAGAGUGGUCUAAUGCGGCGGUCUUGAAAACCGUUGAUCUGAAAGGGUCCUGGGGUUCGAAUCCCUAUCUCUCCGCAA